CUACGGAGGAUCCGAGCGUUAUCCGGAUUUAUUGGGUUUAAAGGGUGCGCAGGCGGCCAUUUAAGUCAGCGGUUAAAUCGUGGGGCUCAACCCCAUUCUGCCGUUGAUACUGGGUGGCUUGAUUGCGGUCGAGGUUGGCGGAAUUCGUUGUGUAGCGGUGAAAUGCAUAGAUAUGACGAAGAACACCGAUUGCGUAGGCAGCUGACCAGACCGCAAAUGACGCUCAUGCACGAAAGUGCGGGGAUCGAACAGGAUUAGAUACCCUGGUAGUCCGCACAGUAAACGAUGAAUACUUGUUUUCGGCGAUAUAAUGUCGGAGGCAAAGCGAAAGCGAUAAGUAUUCCACCUGGGGAGUACGCCGGCAACGGUGAAACUCAAAGGAAUUGGCGGGG
rnacentral:rRNA from 1 species